rnacentral:rRNA from 1 species
GACGAACCGUGCGAACGUUGUUCGGAAUCACUGGGCUUAAAGGGCGCGUAGGCGGCCCUCCAAGUCAGGGGUGAAAGCCCCCAGCUCAACUGGGGAAGGGCCUUUGAUACUGGAGGGCUCGAGGGGGGUAGGGGCGGACGGAACUUCCGGUGGAGCGGUGAAAUGCGUUGAUAUCGGAAGGAACGCCGGUGGCGAAAGCGGUCCGCUGGGCCCCCACUGACGCUGAGGCGCGAAAGCCAGGGGAGCAAACGGG